AGUGAACGCUGGCGGUAGGCCUAACACAUGCAAGUCGAACGGCAGCACAGUAAGAGCUUGCUCUUACGGGUGGCGAGUGGCGGACGGGUGAGGAAUACAUCGGAAUCUACUUUUUCGUGGGGGAUAACGUAGGGAAACUUACGCUAAUACCGCAUACGACCUACGGGUGAAAGCAGGGGAUCUUCGGACCUUGCGCGAUUGAAUGAGCCGAUGUCGGAUUAGCUAGUUGGCGGGGUAAAGGCCCACCAAGGCGACGAUCCGUAGCUGGUCUGAGAGGAUGAUCAGCCACACUGGAACUGAGACACGGUCCAGACUCCUACGGGAGGCAGCAGUGGGGAAUAUUGGACAAUGGGCGAAAGCCUGAUCCAGCCAUACCGCGUGGGUGAAGAAGGCCUUCGGGUUGUAAAGCCCUUUUGUUGGGAAAGAAAAGCAGCAGAUUAAUACCCCGCUGUUCUGACGGUACCCAAAGAAUAAGCACCGGCUAACUUCGUG
rnacentral:rRNA from 1 species